AAAGAUCUAGAAGAGGUAAAGGUGUUGCUGGAAAAGGCUACUAGGAAAAGAAUAUAUGAUGCCCUUAGAGCUGAAAAAUCCAAGAUUGAGACAGAAAUCAAGAACAAGAUGCAACAGAAAUCACAGAAGAAAGCAGAACUUCUCGACAAUGAAAAGCCAGCUGCUGUGGUUGCUCCCAUUACAACAGGCUAUACAGUGAAAAUUAGUAAUUAUGGAUGGGAUCAGUCAGAUAAGUUUGUGAAAAUCUACAUUACCUUAACUGGAAUUCAUCAAAUUCCCACUGAGAAUGUGCGGGUGCAUUUCACAGAGAGGUCAUUUGAUCUUUUGGUAAGGAAUCUAAAUGGGAAGAGUUACUCCAUGAUUGUGAACAAUCUCUUGAAACCCAUCUCUGUGGAAGGCAGUUCCAAAAAGUCAAGACUGAUACAGUUCUUAUCUUAUGUAGAAAGAAAGUGGGAAACACAAGGCGACUCAGGUUGAAAAAAGAGUGCAAAGAAAAAGAGAAGCUCUCCUAUGACACUGAAACAGAUCCAAGUGAGGGAUUGAUGAAUGUUCUAAAGAAAAUUUCUGAGGAUGGAGAUGAUGAUAUGAAGCGAACCAUUAAUAAAGCCUGGGUAGAAUCGAGAGAGAAGCAAGCCAAAGGAGAUACAAAAUUUUGAGACUUCAAAGUCCUUUUUGGGAACUGUGAUGUGAUGCGGAAAUACUGAUGUUUCCAAUAAGGGAAUAUUGGUGAGCUGCAUAUAUAAAUUUGACAGAUAGCUAUUUACAUAGCCUUCUAAGUAAAGGCAGUAAAUUCUCCAUUUCCUGCUGGAGGAUUUAUUUAAAUGAAAUAUGCUUAUUAAACAC